rnacentral:rRNA from 1 species
AGUGAACGCUGGCGGUAGGCCUAACACAUGUAAGUCGAACGGCAGCACAGUAAGAGCUUGCUCUUACGGGUGGCGAGUGGCGGACGGGUGAGGAAUACAUCGGAAUCUACUUUUUCGUGGGGGAUAACGGAGGGAAACUUACGCUAAUACCGCAUACGACCUACGGGUGAAAGCAGGGGAUCUUCGGACCUUGCGCGAUUGAAUGAGCCGAUGUCGGAUUAGCUAGUUGGCGGGGUAAAGGCCCACCAAGGCGACGAUCCGUAGCUGGUCUGAGAGGAUGAUCCGCCACACUGGAACUGAGACACGGUCCAGACUCCUACGGGAGGCAGCAGUGGGGAAUAUUGGACAAUGGGCGCAAGCCUGAUCCAGCCAUACCGCGUGGGUGAAGAAGGCCUUCGGGUUGUAAAGCCCUUUUGUUGGGAAAGAAAAGCAGCAGGUUAAUACCCCGCUGUUCUGACGGUACCCAAAGAAUAAGCACCGGCUAACUUCGUG